CCUACGGGAGGCAGCAGUGAGGAAUAUUGGUCAAUGGACGAGAGUCUGAACCAGCCAAGUCGCGUGAAGGAUGAAUGCCCUAUGGGUUGUAAACUUCUUUUAUAAAGGAAUAAAACGAGGCACGUGAGCCUUAUCGCAUGUACUUUAUGAAUAAGGAUCGGCUAACUCCGUGCCAGCAGCCGCGGUAAUACGGAGGAUCCGAGCGUUAUCCGGAUUUAUUGGGUUUAAAGGGAGCGUAGAUGGGUCGUUAAGUCAGGUGUGAAAGUUUGCGGCUCAACCGUACAAUUGCAAUUGAUACUGGCAGUCUUGAGUACAGUUGAGGUAGGCGGAAUUCGUGGUGUAGCGGUGAAAUGCUUAGAUAUCACGAAGAACCCCGAUUGCGAAGGCAGCUUACUAAACUGUGACUGACGCUGAUGCUCGAAAGCGUGGGUAUCAAACAGGAUUAGAUACCCUAGUAGUC
rnacentral:rRNA from 1 species